GAUUAAGUUAUUAAGGGCGCACGGUGGAUGCCUUGGCACUAGAAGCCGAUGAAGGACGUUACUAACGACGAUAUGCUUUGGGGAGCUGUAAGUAAGCUUUGAUCCAGAGAUUUCCGAAUGGGGAAACCCAGCAUGAGUUAUGUCAUGUUAUCGAUAUGUGAAUACAUAGCAUAUCAGAAGGCACACCCGGAGAACUGAAACAUCUUAGUACCCGGAGGAAGAGAAAGAAAAUUCGAUUCCCUUAGUAGCGGCGAGCGAAACGGGAAGAGCCCAAACCAACAAGCUUGCUUGUUGGGGUUGUAGGACACUCUAUACGGAGUUACAAAGGACGACAUUAGACGAAUCAUCUGGAAAGAUGAAUCAAAGAAGGUAAUAAUCCUGUAGUCGAAAAUGUUGUCUCUCUUGAGUGGAUCCUGAGUACGACGGAGCACGUGAAAUUCCGUCGGAAUCUGGGAGGACCAUCUCCUAAGGCUAAAUACUCUCUAGUGACCGAUAGUGAACCAGUACCGUGAGGGAAAGGUGAAAAGCACCCCGGAAGGAGAGUGAAAUAGAACCUGAAACCGUGUGCUUACAAGUAGUCAGAGCCCGUUAAUGGGUGAUGGCGUGCCUUUUGUAGAAUGAACCGGCGAGUUACGAUUUGAUGCAAGGUUAAGCAGUAAAUGUGGAGCCGUAGCGAAAGCGAGUCUGAAUAGGGCGUUUAGUAUUUGGUCGUAGACCCGAAACCAGGUGAUCUACCCUUGGUCAGGUUGAAGUUCAGGUAACACUGAAUGGAGGACCGAACCGACUUACGUUGAAAAGUGAGCGGAUGAACUGAGGGUAGCGGAGAAAUUCCAAUCGAACCUGGAGAUAGCUGGUUCUCUCCGAAAUAGCUUUAGGGCUAGCCUCAAGUGAUGAUUAUUGGAGGUAGAGCACUGUUUGGACGAGGGGCCCCUCUCGGGUUACCGAAUUCAGACAAACUCCGAAUGCCAAUUAAUUUAACUUGGGAGUCAGAACAUGGGUGAUAAGGUCCGUGUUCGAAAGGGAAACAGCCCAGACCACCAGCUAAGGUCCCAAAAUAUAUGUUAAGUGGAAAAGGAUGUGGCGUUGCCCAGACAACUAGGAUGUUGGCUUAGAAGCAGCCAUCAUUUAAAGAGUGCGUAAUAGCUCACUAGUCGAGUGACACUGCGCCGAAAAUGUACCGGGGCUAAACAUAUUACCGAAGCUGUGGAUUGUCCUUUGGACAAUGGUAGGAGAGCGUUCUAAGGGCGUUGAAGCAUGAUCGUAAGGACAUGUGGAGCGCUUAGAAGUGAGAAUGCCGGUGUGAGUAGCGAAAGACGGGUGAGAAUCCCGUCCACCGAUUGACUAAGGUUUCCAGAGGAAGGCUCGUCCGCUCUGGGUUAGUCGGGUCCUAAGCUGAGGCCGACAGGCGUAGGCGAUGGAUAACAGGUUGAUAUUCCUGUACCACCUAUAAUCGUUUUAAUCGAUGGGGGGACGCAGUAGGAUAGGCGAAGCGUGCGAUUGGAUUGCACGUCUAAGCAGUAAGGCUGAGUAUUAGGCAAAUCCGGUACUCGUUAAGGCUGAGCUGUGAUGGGGAGAAGACAUUGAGUCUUCGAGUCGUUGAUUUCACACUGCCGAGAAAAGCCUCUAGAUAGAAAAUAGGUGCCCGUACCGCAAACCGACACAGGUAGUCAAGAUGAGAAUUCUAAGGUGAGCGAGCGAACUCUCGUUAAGGAACUCGGCAAAAUGACCCCGUAACUUCGGGAGAAGGGGUGCUCUUUAGGGUUAACGCCCAGAAGAGCCGCAGUGAAUAGGCCCAAGCGACUGUUUAUCAAAAACACAGGUCUCUGCUAAACCGUAAGGUGAUGUAUAGGGGCUGACGCCUGCCCGGUGCUGGAAGGUUAAGAGGAGUGGUUAGCUUCUGCGAAGCUACGAAUCGAAGCCCCAGUAAACGGCGGCCGUAACUAUAACGGUCCUAAGGUAGCGAAAUUCCUUGUCGGGUAAGUUCCGACCCGCACGAAAGGCGUAACGAUUUGGGCACUGUCUCAACGAGAGACUCGGUGAAAUCAUAGUACCUGUGAAGAUGCAGGUUACCCGCGACAGGACGGAAAGACCCCGUGGAGCUUUACUGUAGCCUGAUAUUGAAAUUCGGCACAGCUUGUACAGGAUAGGUAGGAGCCUUUGAAACGUGAGCGCUAGCUUACGUGGAGGCGCUGGUGGGAUACUACCCUAGCUGUGUUGGCUUUCUAACCCGCACCACUUAUCGUGGUGGGAGACAGUGUCAGGCGGGCAGUUUGACUGGGGCGGUCGCCUCCUAAAAGGUAACGGAGGCGCUCAAAGGUUCCCUCAGAAUGGUUGGAAAUCAUUCAUAGAGUGUAAAGGCAUAAGGGAGCUUGACUGCGAGACCUACAAGUCGAGCAGGGUCGAAAGACGGACUUAGUGAUCCGGUGGUUCCGCAUGGAAGGGCCAUCGCUCAACGGAUAAAAGCUACCCCGGGGAUAACAGGCUUAUCUCCCCCAAGAGUUCACAUCGACGGGGAGGUUUGGCACCUCGAUGUCGGCUCAUCGCAUCCUGGGGCUGUAGUCGGUCCCAAGGGUUGGGCUGUUCGCCCAUUAAAGCGGUACGCGAGCUGGGUUCAGAACGUCGUGAGACAGUUCGGUCCCUAUCCGUCGUGGGCGUAGGAAAUUUGAGAGGAGCUGUCCUUAGUACGAGAGGACCGGGAUGGACAUACCUCUGGUGUACCAGUUGUCGUGCCAACGGCAUAGCUGGGUAGCUAUGUGUGGACGGGAUAAGUGCUGAAAGCAUCUAAGCAUGAAGCCCCCCUCAAGAUGAGAUUUCCCAACUUCGGUUAUAAGAUCCCUCAAAGAUGAUGAGGUUAAUAGGUUCGAGGUGGAAGCAUGGUGACAUGUGGAGCUGACGAAUACUAAUCGAUCGAAGACUUAAUCAA
rnacentral:rRNA from 1 species